rnacentral:rRNA from 1 species
UGCUGGAGGUAUCAGAAGUGCGAAUGCUGACAUAAGUAACGAUAAAGCGGGUGAAAAGCCCGCUCGCCGGAAGACCAAGGGUUCCUGUCCAACGUUAAUCGGGGCAGGGUGAGUCGACCCCUAAGGCGAGGCCGAAAGGCGUAGUCGAUGGGAAACAGGUUAAUAUUCCUGUACUUGGUGUUACUGCGAAGGGGGGACGGAGAAGGCUAUGUUAGCCGGGCGACGGUUGUCCCGGUUUAAGCAUGUAGGCGGAGGUUCCAGGUAAAUCCGGUACCUUUUAACGCUGAGGUGUGAUGACGAGGCACUACGGUGCUGAAGUAACAAAUGCCCUGCUUCCAGGAAAAGCCUCUAAGCAUCAGGUAACAUUAAAUCGUACCCCAAACCGACACAGGUGGUCAGGUAGAGAAUACCAAGGCGCUUGAGAGAACUCGGGUGAAGGAACUAGGCAAAAUGGUGCCGUAACUUCGGGAGAAGGCACGCUGGUGUGUAGGUGAAGUCCCUGCGGAUGGAGCUGAGACCAGUCGAAGAUACCAGCUGGCUGCAACUGUUUAUUAAAAACACAGCACUGUGCAAACACGAAAGUGGACGUAUACGGUGUGACGCCUGCCCGGUGCCGGAAGGUUAAUUGAUGGGGUUAUCCGUAAGGAGAAGCUCUUGAUCGAAGCCCCGGUAAACGGCGGCCGUAACUAUAACGGUCCUAAGGUAGCGAAAUUCCUUGUCGGGUAAGUUCCGACCUGCACGAAUGGCGUAAUGAUGGCCAGGCUGUCUCCACCCGAGACUCAGUGAAAUUGAACUCGCUGUGAAGAUGCAGUGUACCCGCGGCAAGACGGAAAGACCCCGUGAACCUUUACUAUAGCUUGACACUGAACAUUGAGCCUUGAUGUGUAGGAUAGGUGGGAGGCUUUGAAGCGUGGACGCCAGUCUGCGUGGAGCCAACCUUGAAAUACCACCCUUUAAUGUUUGAUGUUCUAACGUAGGCCCCUGACCGGGGUUGCGGACAGUGUCUGGUGGGUAGUUUGACUGGGGCGGUCUCCUCCCAAAGAGUAACGGAGGAGCACGAAGGUUAGCUAAUCCUGGUCGGACAUCAGGAGGUUAGUGCAAUGGCAUAAGCUAGCUUGACUGCGAGCGUGACGGCGCGAGCAGGUGCGAAAGCAGGUCAUAGUGAUCCGGUGGUUCUGAAUGGAAGGGCCAUCGCUCAACGGAUAAAAGGUACUCCGGGGAUAACAGGCUGAUACCGCCCAAGAGUUCAUAUCGACGGCGGUGUUUGGCACCUCGAUGUCGGCUCAUCACAUCCUGGGGCUGAAGUAGGUCCCAAGGGUAUGGCUGUUCGCCAUUUAAAGUGGUACGCGAGCUGGGUUUAGAACGUCGUGAGACAGUUCGGUCCCUAUCUGCCGUGGGCGCUGGAGAAUUGAGGGGGGCUGCUCCUAGUACGAGAGGACCGGAGUGGACGCAUCACUGGUGUUCGGGUUGUCAUGCCAAUGGCACUGCCCGGUAGCUAAAUGCGGAAGAGAUAAGUGCUGAAAGCAUCUAAGCACGAAACUUGCCCCGAGAUGAGUUCUCCCUGAGACU